CGGGGAGAGGCACAGGCGGUGGUGCCGGGGGCUCUGGCGGUGGUCGGAGAAAGCAAAAUGGAUCUGGAGUGGCCUAUGAAAUCUGGCAAAUCUUCACCAAUACUCUAUUUCCAUUUCCUGCCUGGAAACAGCUACAUGAAGGUAUGACUUUGAAUUGUUUUGCAAGGCCAGGUGACCUGCAGCUGGCUCAUGGUCAAUUGCUAGAGCCUCACUGGAGAUGUAAAUACUGUUCAUCUCUGCAGUUUUGUGUUACAUAGCUAAAGACCACAAAUAUGUAUGUAAUGCAUCUGAGAACACCAGUUCAUUGACUGUCACAUAUGCAGCAUAUGGAUACAGAAUGACAAUUAUUUGCAAGGAAAACCAAUUUAAUGACAGAGAAACAAAUACAUAGUGGUUAUGAGCUCUCGAUUUUGUGUCUAAAAAAUGGAUUCAAAAUUUUUUGUGCUAUUUAUUAGCUGCAUCUGUUUUCCUAUCAGUGCAAUGUACAUAAGGCUCUUGGGAUGGGGUUAUUGUGUAAGCUAAACAAAAAGAAGUAUGUAAAACAUUUGGCAUGGUGCCUAGAACAGAGUAAGACAUCAACUAGUACCUGCUACUAGUACUGAUGUCAAAGGAUGUGGCAUUCUAUUGUCUGGCUCCUCUCAAAAGGAAAUUAAAACCUAAAUUUAUCUCAUGUCAGUAUCAUCU
rnacentral:lncRNA from 13 species